AUUCUCCUUAAACUGUAAAUUAUUAAACAGACAGACACACUUUAAAAGACAAAAUACAAGCGUUUAUUACCAUCCAAAGAAAUAAGUUUCUAUAAAGUAACCAAUCCUUAAUUCACAACCGUCAAAACUCUGAACACAUUUUUGAUAUUUAUCCAAGAGAUUAUAAACUUCAAACCAAGUGGAAAAAAGAAAAAAAAAACGUUUUUAAUUUUUUGGGGUAGACGAGUAGCAAAUUGAAUCAGGAAGUGUUAUUGGAAAAUAUUUAAGAUAUAUGAUGAUUUUUGUAAGCAACGUGGCAAAAAAACACGCAUAUAGAGUUACGGAGGUGACUUUUCCUCGAGUGAAUGUCGUGUUAGCAAUAUGAAUAAUGGAUUCAAUUUUAUCGGGAAUUCUUUAUUAAAAUAGUCUUUGUCUCACAACGGAUAAUACUUUAGUUAUCAUGGUUAUUUGACUAGAACGAUGUUUAAAAAAAAGACAGAACGAAUUUAAUAUCAUCUUUCUCUUUUU
rnacentral:lncRNA from 1 species